rnacentral:lncRNA from 1 species
UUUUAAUGAAAUUAUUUGUAUUAAACUUUGACAUUUAAUAUUCCACUAAAUCCAGUAAACUUUAAAAAUCUUUUUAAUUGUGACCACUUUAACUUGUUCAAAGGGUUAGAUAUAGAAACAUUUGUGGUGGCUUUCAUUUAUAGCGUAAACUGCACAACGUCUAACCCAAUUGUUUGGAUGCUUUGGGAGGUUUUCAUUUAUAAUUUUGAUCCAUUAGACAGCAAAAAUAUGCAGUAUUUUAAUAUCAUAGAUCUAAUAAGAAAAAUAAAAAAUAAAAAAAUAUAUAAUAUUCUUACAUAGCAAUAAUAAAAGGGAGACACCCUUUGGACACCCAAAUUCAAAAGUCAAACAUUUUCUAACAUUAAAAUUUGUACACUAUAUAGUUUUUGUAGUAAAGGUUUUGAUAAUCUUUUGAUGAUUAUCCGGUUAUUGGAUUAUCAUGUUUUAUUUGGUCUUUAUCUUUGUUUUCCUUUUUAUCAGCAUUGGUAGUUAGCCUUUUGAAUUAUACUAUUUAUUUGUCGUCGUUUGUAACCUGUUAACAUAUGAAUGAAUGAAAGAAACUGAUUGAUGACAAUUCAUAGUUUUAUUAUGGUAUCAGAGCAGUUUGGUUUCUAGGGCCGAUAAUAAAUCUCCAGCAAGCAUGGCAGGAGAUAUACUAGAAGGAUCUGGCAAGAAAGACAAUGAGGCAAUUGAUACUACUUCACCAUUCUAUAUUCAUACAUCGGAUUACCCCAAACAAGUUCAAGUAAACGACUUGUUGAGUGACAACAAUUACAACGAAUGGAAGCAAGAGAUGACAAAUUUUCUCUUGGCAAAAAACAAGAUGAGAUUUAUAGAUGGAACAUUGAAGAAGCAUGAAUCAACAUCAUCCACGUAUACGGCAUGGAUUCGAGCCGAUGCUAUGAUAAAAGGGUGGUUAACCACAACAAUGGAGAGGGAAAUAAGAACAAGUGUUCGAUAUGCGAACACCUCCUCAGAGAUCUUUGGUCAGAUCUUGAAGAGCGAUUUGAAAAGGAGGGUGCACCUCAUGCAUACGAGUUGAAACAAGCACUCCAUGUAACGAGACAAGAAGUGAGUUCUGUGUCAAAUUACUACACUAAGCUGAGGUCAAUUUGGGACGAAUUACAGAUGGUGCUUCCCAUGCCACGAUGCAUCUGUGAAGGUUGUAGUUGUGGAGUUGGAAAGAAAUUGAAUGAGUUGAGAGAAAAGGAAAGAACUUGAUGGGUUUGGACGAUGAUUUUGCUUUCAUCAGAACUCAAGUACCUGCUAUGAAGCCAACACCAUCCAUUGGAACGGUAUACCACUUGUUAGCAGAAGACGAGCAGCAAAGAGCAAUCACAAGGGGAGUAAAACGGCUUGGGACUGAAGCAUCAGCUUUCCACGUUAACUACAAUUCACAGAGAGGGCAGCGACAGACAUUGUCGAAACAAUCUGCUCAAUCCGUGAACAAAGUGAUGCAGAAAUCCUCAAAAACAGAUGGCGAGAAGAAGAUUCGGUGUUCUCACUGCCAACGAGAUGGACACACCAAGGAUGGUUGUUUCAGACUUAUUGGGUAUCCUGAAUGGUGGCCUGGUAAGAAUGAUAAACCCAAGGCAGCUUGUGUAGAGCUGGGCCCAAGUCCGAUCCCCGGACUUUCAGACGAGCAGUACCGACUCUUUGUUGAACAUUUCAAGGAAGGAACGAAUGUAACAAAACAAUCAAUGGCAAACAUGGCAGGUAGAAAUGAUUUUUUGACUAAUAAAACCCAAAACCCUAAAGACCCACCUGUUGUUAUUCCUAAUGGAGACAAGGUUCAGGUCAUAGGGGGAGGGUGAACACACUUUGCCAGGAGGUUUAAAAAUAAAAGGAGUUUUGUUUGUACCGAGUUUUAAUUACAAUCUUCUUUCUGUUGGUAGACUCGCAGAUGAUCUUAAUUGUGUUGUUACAUUUUUUCCCGGUUUUUUUGUGAUGCAGGAGUUGGGGACGAAGCACUUGAUUAGAGCGGGUAGUCGCAAUGGAGGAUUGUAUCGGAUGGGGGUAUGAAGAUGAAGACAAAUGAAGCUUUAAUGUCAACUUUUGAGGUUUGGCACAAAAGACUUGGGCACCCAUCAAUCAAGAAGAUCUCGAGUUUAGAUUUUGUUAGUGUUUCGAAUAAAGAGCAAAUUAAUAAAUGUGAUGCUUGUCUUAAAGCAAAACAUACUAGACUUCCAUUUCCUAUUAGUGAAAUAAAAACUUCUUGUUUUGAUAUGAUACAUUGUGAUGUGUGGGGGAGGUAUAGGAUUCCUUCUCUUAACAAUGCGUCUUAUUUUUUUACAAUUGUAGACGAUUUUAGUAGAGCUGUUUGGACUUUUUUGAUAAAACAUUAACAUGAAGCUAGUACAUGUCUCAUAGACUUUCAUAAGAUGGUUCAGACUCAAUUUGGAAAACGAAUCAAGAGAAUAAGAUCUGACAACGGGGGAGAGUUUGUGUCUAAUAAAAUGCGUGAUUUCUAUGCGCAAGAAGGGAUCGAGACAUCUUGUCCACAUACACCACAGCAGAAUGGUGUGGUUGAACGUAAGCAUAGGCACUUGUUAGAAACUGCAUGUGCUUUUCUCUUUCAAGCAAACUUACCAAAGUCUUUUUGGGGUGAGUGUGUUUUGACAGCUACAUAUGUGAUAAACCGAAUGCCAAGUAAAGUUUUGCGAGGUAUCACUCCAUAUGAGAUACUCUUUGGCCACAAACCUACUUAUGAUCAUAUGUGGGUGUUUGGGUGUUUAGCUUAUUAUCAAAGUACAGAGACGAAGGGGGACAAGUUUGAGGCUAGGGGCAGACCAGGUUUGUUUGUUGGGUAUCCUCAAGGUACAAAAGGAUAUCGAAUAUAUGAUUUAGAGAAUAGAAAAAUAAUUAUUUCUAGGGAUGUUCGCUUCCUAGAAGAUCAGUUUCCAAUGGAGUCAAGUUUAUUAAAUGGCAGUGUGCAACAGGAAGAACUUUUUGAAUUAGACAGCGAUCCAAGUGAAACUUAUGUUGUCUCAUAUGAUGAAGCAGUAGAUUCCCAUGGAAGUAAUGUCAUUGUUGAUUAAGAGGUGACACCUACUGUUAAUGAUGAUGGUGAUGGUGCAUCUCCGAUAUCCAGCAGCCCCAACAGUGAAAGUAAUUCACCUACGAAUGCAGAAUCUGAAGAUGUUAAUACUUUGAGGGUCACAUGAGCUCGAACACAUCCCCUUCGGUUUAGUGAUUACGAGAUUGAAUUGCCCCCAUCGAUCAAUCAUCCACUGCCCGCUACCAAUUGACAUGCUUCUACGGUACAUCCCCUCUCCUCUUAUGUUUCUUAUAAGAAUUUUUCCAAGUCUCAUAAAGCGUUUUUAGCAGCCAUAGUCACACACUAUGAGCCAAAAUGUUUUAAGCAUGCAGCUAAGGAUGAAAGGUGGUGAGAUGCAAUGAUUAAAGAAAUAAGUGUUUUGGAAGCAAAUAAGACUUGGAUACUUGUCGAGCUACCACCAGGUAAACAUGCCAUUGACUCUAAAUGGGUAUACAAGAGUAAGUUCAAACCAAACAGGGAGAUAGAACGCUACAAGGCAAGGCUUGUCGUGAAAGGAUGCACGCAACUAGAAGGAGUGGACUGCCAUGACACUUUCGCCCCGGUUGCAAAACUUGUCACUGUUAGAAUUUUAUUAACCAUGGCGGUAAAAAAUAAGUGGAUCAUACAUCAGUUCAACGUAAAUAAUGCGUUCUUACAUGGUGAUCUUGAAGAAGAUGUGUACAUGAAGAUUCCUCAAGGUUUUGGCAAAGAAGGUGACAUGAGGGUUUGCAAGUUGAAGAAGUCUUUGUAUGGCUUGAAGCAGGCUAGUCAAAACUGGUAUCACAAGUUCACCUCCGCAUUACGAGAACUUGAUUUCCAUCAAUCACAUGCGGAUCACUCUUUGUUUAUUCAUCGACAUAAAGGAGUGUUUGUGGUAGCACUAAUAUAUGUUGAUGAUGUAAUUAUUGUAGGUAAUAAUCCUGCGAAGAUUGAGAGUACUAAGUCGAGUCUUCAUGCUCAGUUCAGUAUCAAAGAUCUAGGUAGUCUCACGUAUUUCUUGGGAAUUGAAGUGUCACGCAUACAAGAAGGUCUAGUACUUAGUCAACGGAAGUAUACUAUUGACAUUCUAGAUGAUAUUGGUAUGUUAGGGUGCCGUCCAAGCAAGUUCCCAAUGGAACAAAAUCUCAAACUAAACAAAGGUGAAAAGGAAGAGAAAGUUGAUGCUAAUUUGUAUCGGCGAUUGGUUGGAAGGCUACUAUAUUUUCAAGCAACACGGCCAAAUAUUACUUAUUCAGUUAAUGUUUUAAGCCAAUUUGUAUUUGAUCCUCGUCAAAGUCAUCGGAACGCAGCCUUGAGGGUUUUACGUUAUCUUAAAACUACUUUAGGACAAGGUAUUCUUCUUCCCAAGGAUGGAUGACCAGAAUUACUUGCUUACAGUGAUUCUGACUGGUUAGGUUGUCCCUUCUCUAGGCGUUCAAGAACUGGUUAUUUGCUCAUGCUGGGUGGUGCACCAGUGUCAUGGAAAUCUCGCAAGCAAUCGGUAGUCUCUCGAUCUUCUGCAGAAGCAGAGUAUCGUGCCAUGGCAACUACAGUCAGUGAGAUAUUAUGGGUUCGAUGGUUACUUUCUGAACUUGGAUUUUGCAUUGACAAGCCCACUCCUCUCUUGUGUGAUAAUGAGUUUGCUCGUCAUAUUGCUCAUAAUCCGGUCUUUCAUGAACGAACCAAACACGUUGAAAUGGAUUGUUUUUUUGUUCGAGAGUGAGUAGAGUCUAAAGAAAUAAUUCAUGUUUGUGUUGCUACUCAAGCUCAGCUGGCGGAUCUGCUUACCAAGCCUCUUGGUUCUGACAGGUUACAGUCACUACUCGUCAAGUUGAACAUUCAAAAUCUCCAUGUGUCAACUUGAGGGGGAAUAAAGGUUUUGAUAAUCUUUUGAUGAUUAUCCGGUUAUUGGAUUAUCAUGUUUUAUUUGGUCUUUAUCUUUGUUUUCCUUUUUAUCAGCAUUGGUAGUUAGCCUUUUGAAUUAUACUAUUUAUUUGUGGUCGUUUGUAACUUGUUGGUAGUUAGCCUUUAUCAGCAUUGGUAGUUAGCCUUUUUGAAUUAUACUAUAUGAAUGAAUGAAAGAAACUGAUUGAUGACAAUUCAUAGUUUUAUUAUGUAGCUUUUAGCAUAAGGAACUAUGCUUCAUAAAACAUAUUUAUUGGGAACUAUUCAUAACACUCCUCUCGUAUUAAUAUAAUUUUUAGUAGUUUUUAAC